rnacentral:lncRNA from 1 species
GGCAGCCUAGCGUCCACAGGGAGAGAAGGCCUCCGAGUUCCUGCUGAACCACUCAACAGCUUAAAAUACAACCAGCCCCUCUCCCUGUCCAGCCAGCUGCUAGUGGGAGGGGUGAAAUCGUACCCUGCUCCCCCCAACCUGGGCACCAAACCAGGGCCCAAGAGGGAGAGUACGGCCAUCGGGGUCCCGGCUAGCUGCUGGGAGAGGACGCCGGGCUGCGGCAGGAGGGGGUAGCGAGAGAGGGGCCACGCUCACAGCUGCAGCAGUGGUGCCCAGGCCAGCCUGAGGCCCAAGGAGAGGAGACGCCCAAACCUGCAAGGAGGGCAGGAAGGCGCUGUCGGACCAGGAAGCUGGAAGGGGGCCAGAGGCUGAGCCCUGCAGAUACAAACUGACUGGAGGAGCAGGAGGAGCUCAUCCGGGCCAACCCCCGACUGCCCGAGUCCAGCAGACAGGUUAGUCCACCCCCAUGAGCUCAGCUUGCCAAAGAGCCUAGACUGGGAUCUACGUGGCAGGCUUUAUACACGCGGCGGCAGCUAACACCACCCGCCCACUCACAACCAGCCAGGCACGGAGGCUCAUCCUCAACACGAAUCAUCUCCUUUACAAUGUAUUCAUCCUCUUUUGCAGAGUUGUAUUGAACACGCCAUGCUCACUGGAUGUCAUCUGUGGCUGCCACAGUGGUAUCACUGCUGCUGAGAUGUCUGAGAUGGUUGGAUGCGGUGGCUCCCGCCUGUAAUCACAGCACUUUGGGAGGCCAAAGUGAGCAGAUCACUUGAAAUCAGGAGUUUGAGACCAGCCUGGCCAACAUGGUGAACCCGUCUCUACCAAAAUACAAAAAUUAGCCAG